rnacentral:rRNA from 1 species
UUUAACUGAAGAGUUUGAUCAUGGCUCAGAUUGAACGCUGGCGGCAGGCUUAACACAUGCAAGUCGAGCGGGGGAAGGUAGCUUGCUACCGGACC